AAAAUUUGGUCUCGCACCUGUUGCUGCAGUCUCUCCUCUUCUGGAAGGGAAGGUUUUUGCAGCCCAACUGACAGUUAUUGCGUGACGUUGCACAUCCCACCUUACAGGCAACAGCCAACGUGGUGGACACCAUCAGUCCCACCAACAGAAGUGUUGUCAACAGUCUGGUCUGAAAGAAUUCAAAGACUAGUGAACAGAUUUGAGAUUUGAAAAAGCAUCAAGGGACAAUGAAUACCAGACUGUUGACAACGCUUCUGUUGGUGGGACUGAUGGUGUCCACCACGCUGGCUGUCACCUGUAAGGUGGGAUGUCAGAAGUCACGUAACGUCUGUCAGUUGGGCUGCAGAAACCUUCCCUUCCUGAAGAAAAGGCAGUGCAGCAACAAGUGCGAGACAACCUUAUCGAUUUGUGAGAGGAGCUGUAAAAACAACAGGCCCACACCUUGGAAGUCUUAAAUAGUGAAAAACAUGUAAAAAUUCCUAGAGAAUUAUAUAUGUUUGAAAUGUCUUAGUAAAAAAUAAAUGAUAUGCAUUUUCGUCACA